rnacentral:lncRNA from 1 species
UUCCUGAUCCCCGCUCUUGAGGAACCGCUUCUCUCUUCUGAGCCCUAAUCAAUUUGCAAUUGUACCAGUAGAGUGCAGCAAAUUCUUUGAAGAGAUCGAAGAGAUGACAGAAAACAUAAAGGUGAGUGCAACAACAAAAGAACAUCCAAUAGAGCCAAACUUGGAGAUGAUUGUUCAAGAGUCUUCUGGUCCUGUAAUUAAUUUUUUUGAUGAGGAUGAAAUUCCAUAUAAUGAAGUGGAAAAUAUACAUGCAGUUGAUUCUCCUUCUCAGAUAUUAAUGCUUCCUUGGUACGAAAAUGGCCCAUGCAAUAUCCAGGAGAGACUAAACUUUAUUGAUGCUUCUCGCUGGGUGAAAUCGAACAUGCUAAAGUUAUGUCGUCAAUUGGGUGUCAAGGCGGAUGAUCAGGAGAAUGAUUUGCGGAACCUUCUCAUGAGAAUUGAAAGGAGUAGAUUAGCAAGACCUAAGCCAAAACAAAAGCCCAUCUCCACAUAAGAGGAAUCAACGGGAAAUAGAGGGUUUGAAGAAUUUUGGGGUUAAUUAUGGGGAUGAGCCAAAAAGCAGAGAUCGAGGAAGGAAGGCCAUUACAAAUAGAAGAUGAAGAUUAAAAUCUUAUGCUGGAAUGUCAGAGGGUUGAACGAGGCAGAAAAAAGGAGGCUAGUGAAGUCACUGAUAAAAAAGUGGAACACUGAUAUUGUUUGUUUGAGCGAGACAAAACUAAAGCAGUGCAAUUGUUCUUUGAUGAGGCAGGCUGUGGGAGGUAGAUGGACAGACUGGUUAGAGCUUAAAGCAAGAGGAAAUAGUGGUGGAAUCUUACUUAUGUGGGAUAAAAGGAGAUGGAGUUAUAAUGAGAAAUUGGUGGGGGAGUAUUCAGCAAGUGUUUUUUUGGAAGAUAAAAAUUCUGAUUUUAAAUUUUCUUUCUCUGGGGGUAUAUGGGCCUUGUGAUAGAAAGAGGAGGAGAGAACUAUGGAAAGAACUUGGGGCAGUUGCAGGUUUAGAAGAUUGGCCUUGGGUAGUUGGAGGCGAUUUUAAUAUCACAAGGUUUGAGGAUAAAAGAGCCGGAAGGGCAAAAAAUACUAUGGCUAUGAGAGAUUUCUCAAGGUUCAUUGAUGAUAUGGAGCUAAUUGAUCUUCCUUUACAUGGUGGGCAGUACACGUGGUUCAGAGGCAAUAAUGAACAUUCAGCCUCAAGAAUAGAUAGAUUUUUAAUUUCAAGUCAACGGGAUAAUUCCUUCAAAGCUAUUAAACAAAGCGUGCUACCUAGGGUGGAAUCAGACCAUUGUCCAAUACUAUUGGAGUGUGGGGAAUGGGAGAGAAGUAAAGGGUAUUUCAAGUUCGAAAAUAUGUGGUUUGAACAUGUUAAUUUUAUAAGCACAGUGGAGAAAUGGUGGAAUUCGUAUGAUUUUCAAGGAAGACCAGAUGUGGUUCUAGCAAAAAAGCUUAGAAAGUUAAAAGAAGAUUUAAAGAAGUGGAACAAAGAAACUUUUGGGCACCUGGGAACAAGAAAAGACCAGAUCUUGCAUCAAUUGGAGAUGGAGCAGCAAAAUGAUAAUCAUGAUAGUAACACAUAGGAAGAAGAACCUGCUAAAAAUGCAUUAAUAAAUGAGUUGCAUCACAUAGCUAAGGUAGAAGAGAUACAUUGGAGGCAAAAAUCCAGAUUUUUAUGGAUUAAGCAAGGGGAUAAGAACACCAAUUUUUUUCACAAAAUAGCAAAUUCAAAUAGGAGAUGUAAUUGGAUUGAUAAGCUAGAAAUAGAUGGGGACUUCACAGAUGACAAAAAUUUGAUUAGAAACAACAUACUUGAGUUCUAUAAAGAUCUUUUUUCAGAAAAAGAGAGCUGGAGACCUUCAUGGAAUUGUUCAGAACUUGCUAGCAUCAGUGACCAAGAGAAAGAGUGGUUGGAGAGACCUUUUGAUGAAAUAGAGGUAACAAGAGUAGUUAAAAUGGUAGAAGGGGAUAAGGCUCCUGAUCCAGACGGCUUUAAUAUGUGUUUCUUCAAAAGAUGCUGGCAUAUUGUGAAAGAAGAUGUUCUGAAGACAUUUGAGGUGUUUCACAGAGAAGGAGAAUUUGUCAGAAGUUUUAACUCAACCUUCAUUGCUUUGAUGCCAAAGAAGAAAGGGGCUGCAAACAUCAAGGAAUUCAGACCUAUUAGUUUGCUUGGGAGUAUAUACAAGUUGAUAGCUAAAGUCCUUACUGAGAGAAUGAAGUUGGUGAUUAACAAGUUGGUCUCUGAGAAUCAGAAUGCCUUUUUGAAAGGUAGACAAAUUGCAGAUGCAUCACUGUUGGCAAAUGAAUGUAUAGACUACUACUGGAAAAGAAAAUUGCCUGGUGUGGUGUUCAAAUUGGACUUAGAAAAGGCCUAUGAUCAUGUCAAUUGGCCUUGUCUGCUGAAGUUGCUGUAAAAGAUGCAUUUUGGGGUAAGUGGAUUCAAUGGAUAAAAUUUUGUGUCUCCACUACAAAGUUCUCAAUACUAAUCAAUGGUAGUCCAGUAGGUUAUUUUAGUUCUCGAAGAGGUUUAAGGCAAGGAGACCCUCUGUCUCCCUACUUGUUUCUUCUAGUAAUGGAGGUGUUGAGUCAGAUGUUUAAAACUACUGUGAGAAGUGGAUGGAUAAAAGGCUUUAAAAUGGAGGGUCAUUCGGGAAAUAAUAUAGAAAUUUCUCAUAGUCUUUAUGCUGAUGAUACCUUGUUGAUGUGUGAGGCUGAUAGAAAUCAAGUGUUGCACUUGAGUGUGGUUUUGUUUGCGUUUGAAGCUGUGAUUGGAUUAAAAAUAAACCUGGCCAAGAGUUCAAUGUUUUCUUUGAAUGCUGACAGUGAUAUUAAUAUGUUAGCUGAUAUCAUGGGUUGCAAGGUUGAAAAGUUUCCUACUACCUAUUUGGGAUUGCCUUUAGGUGCAAAAUUCAAGGACAAAUCAGUGUGGAAUGGUGUAAUUGACAAGUGUGAAAAAUAAUUGGCUCCUUGGAAGCAACAAUACUUAUCACUUGGGGGCAGAUUGACAUUAGUAAACAGUGUUCUUGAUGGAAUAUCAACCUAUCUAAUGUCUCUAACUCCUAUACCAGCUAGUGUGGAGAAGAAAAUUGAUAAAAUUAGGAAGAAAUUUUUGUGGGAAGGUGAUACAAAAAGGAGAAAAUAUCAUUUAGUAAAGUGGAGCAUUGUGACAAAACAUAAGAAAGAAGGGGGUCUGGGAGUUAGAAAUCUUAGAGCUCACAAUCAAAGCUUGCUAUGCAAAUGGCUAUGGAGGUUAAACGAUGGGAUAAAAGCUCCCUGGAAAGCAGUGGUGGAGGUGAUAUAUGGAAAAGAGGGUUUCUUUGCACCUAAAAAAGUAAAAACUCCGUAUGGGGUAGCAGUAUGGCAUAAUUAAGGGAGAACUUGUGUCUUUAGCCGGCAACAUUUCUUCAAAUAGUAGUUUAUAACCUGAAAGAGUGGAGCUUGGUCUGUGAUGCUAAAAUAUGAUAGAAUCAACAGAAUUUCUUUCCCCAUACAAUUGUACUAAUGAACUUUAACCUUUCUUUCCCCAUACAAUUGUACUAAUGAACUUUAACCAUGUUUCUGUCUCUUCCUAGCUUAUUUGGUUUUCGUUUGGUAUUUUAUUUUGUCUUAGGUUGGCAUAUAUGGUUAUACAGCUUAUUCAACCAGUA